rnacentral:rRNA from 1 species
UACAGAGGGUGCGAGCGUUGUUCGGAAUUAUUGGGCGUAAAGGGCGCGUAGGCGGUGCGGUAAGUCACCUGUGAAAUCUCCUGGCUCAACUGGGAGCUUGCAGGCGAAACUGCCGUGCUGGAGUGUGGGAGAGGUGCGUGGAAUUUCCGGUGUAGCGGUGAAAUGCGUAGAUAUCGGGAAGGAACACCUGUGGCGAAAGCGGCUCACUGGACCAUUACUGACGCUGAUGCACGAAAGCUAGGGGAGCAAACAGG